CGGCGUGCCUAAUACAUGCAAGUCGAACGCACUGACGUCGAUAGAAGGUGCUUGCACUGGAAGUUGAUUGACGUGAGUGGCGGACGGGUGAGUAACACGUGGGUAACCUGCCCUUAAGCGGGGGAUAACAUUUGGAAACAGAUGCUAAUACCGCAUAAAAGUUGAGAUCACAUGGUCUUAAUUUGAAAGACGGCCUUUGGCUGUCACUUAAGGAUGGACCCGCGGCGUAUUAGCUAGUUGGUGAGAUAAUAGCCUACCAAGGCGAUGAUACGUAGCCGACCUGAGAGGGUAAUCGGCCACAUUGGGACUGAGACACGGCCCAAACUCCUACGGGAGGCAGCAGUAGGGAAUCUUCCACAAUGGACGAAAGUCUGAUGGAGCAACGCCGCGUGAGUGAAGAAGGUUUUCGGAUCGUAAAACUCUGUUGUUGGAGAAGAACAGGGACUAGAGUAACUGUUAGUCCUUUGACGGUAUCCAACCAGAAAGCCACGGCUAACUACGUGCCAGCAGCCGCGGUAAUACGUAGGUGGCAAGCGUUGUCCGGAUUUAUUGGGCGUAAAGCGAGCGCAGGCGGUUUCUUAAGUCUGAUGUGAAAGCCUUCGGCUUAACCGAAGAAGUGCAUCAGAUACUGGGAAACUUGAGUGCAGAAGAGGAAAGUGGAACUCCAUGUGUAGCGGUGAAAUGCGUAGAUAUAUGGAAGAACACCAGUGGCGAAGGCGGCUUUCUGGUCUGUAACUGACGCUGAGGCUUGAAAGUAUGGGGAGCGAACAGGAUUAGAUACCCUGGUAGUCCAUACCGUAAACGAUGAAUGCUAAGUGUUGGAGGGUUUCCGCCCUUCAGUGCUGCAGCUAACGCAUUAAGCAUUCCGCCUGGGGAGUACGACCGCAAGGUUGAAACUCAAAGGAAUUGACGGGGGCCCGCACAAGCGGUGGAGCAUGUGGUUUAAUUCGAAGCUACGCGAAGAACCUUACCAGGUCUUGACAUCUAGCGCCAAUCCUAGAGAUAGGACGUUCCCUUCGGGGACGCUAAGACAGGUGGUGCAUGGUUGUCGUCAGCUCGUGUCGUGAGAUGUUGGGUUAAGUCCCGCAACGAGCGCAACCCUUAUGAUUAGUUGCCAGCAUUUAGUUGGGCACUCUAAUCAGACUGCCGGUGACAAACCGGAGGAAGGUGGGG
rnacentral:rRNA from 1 species